GCAUUGGUGAUUCAGUGGUAGAAUUCUUGCUUUCCAUGCGAGAGACAUGGGUUCAAUUCCCAGCCAAUGCA